UACAGAGGGGGCAAGCGUUGUUCGGAAUUACUGGGCGUAAAGGGCGCGUAGGCGGCCUGCUAAGUCGAACGUGAAAUCCCCGGGCUCAACCCGGGAACUGCGUCCGAUACUGGCAGGCUUGAAUCCGGGAGAGGGAUGUGGAAUUCCAGGUGUAGCGGUGAAAUGCGUAGAUAUCGGGAGGAACACCGGUGGCGAAGGCGGCUCUCUGGACCACUACUGACGCUGAGGCGCGAAAGCUAGGGGAGCAAACAGG
rnacentral:rRNA from 1 species